rnacentral:rRNA from 1 species
UGGGGAAUUUUGGGACAAUGGGCGAAAGCCUGAUCCAGCAAUGCCGCGUGUGUGAAGAAGGCCUUCGGGUUGUAAAGCACUUUUGUCCGGAAAGAAAUCCUUGGCUCUAAUACAGUCGGGGGAUGACGGUACCGGAAGAAUAAGCACCGGCUAACUACGUGCCAGCAGCCGCGGUAAUACGUAGGGUGCAAGCGUUAAUCGGAAUUACUGGGCGUAAAGCGUGCGCAGGCGGUUUGCUAAGACCGAUGUGAAAUCCCCGGGCUCAACCUGGGAACUGCAUUGGUGACUGGCAGGCUAGAGUAUGGCAGAGGGGGGUAGAAUUCCACGUGUAGCAGUGAAAUGCGUAGAGAUGUGAGGAUACCGAUGGCGAAGGCAGCCCCCUGGGCCAAUACUGACGCUCAUGCACGAAAGCGUGGGGAGCAAAGCAGGAUUAGAUACCCUGGUAGUCCACGCCCUAAACGAUGUCAACUAGUUG